AUAGGGGUUCUGAGAGGAAGGUCCCCCACAUUGGUACUGAGACACGGACCAAACUCCUACGGGAGGCAGCAGUGAGGAAUAUUGGUCAAUGGCCGAGAGGCUGAACCAGCCAAGUCGCGUGAGGGAUGAAGGUUCUAUGGAUCGUAAACCUCUUUUAUAAGGGAAUAAAGUGCGGGACGUGUCCCGUUUUGUAUGUACCUUAUGAAUAAGGAUCGGCUAACUCCGUGCCAGCAGCCGCGGUAAUACGGAGGAUCCGAGCGUUAUCCGGAUUUAUUGGGUUUAAAGGGUGCGUAGGCGGCCUUUUAAGUCAGCGGUGAAAGUCUGUGGCUCAACCAUAGAAUUGCCGUUGAAACUGGGGGGCUUGAGUAUGUUUGAGGCAGGCGGAAUGCGUGGUGUAGCGGUGAAAUGCAUAGAUAUCACGCAGAACCCCGAUUGCGAAGGCAGCCUGCCAAGCCAUUACUGACGCUGAUGCACGAAAGCGUGGGGAUCAAACAGGAUUAGAUACCCUGGUAGUCCACGCAGUAAACGAUGAUCACUAGCUGUUUGCGAUACACUGUAAGCGGCACAGCGAAAGCGUUAAGUGAUCCACCUGGGGAGUACGCCGGCAACGGUGAAACUCAAAGGAAUUGACGGGGGCCCGCACAAGCGGAGGAACAUGUGGUUUAAUUCGAUGAUACGCGAGGAACCUUACCCGGGUUUGAACGCAUUCGGACCGAGGUGGAAACACCUUUUCUAGCAAUAGCCGUUUGCGAGGUGCUGCAUGGUUGUCGUCAGCUCGUGCCGUGAGGUGUCGGCUUAAGUGCCAUAACGAGCGCAACCCUUGCCACUAGUUACUAACAGGUAAAGCUGAGGACUCUGGUGGGACUGCCAGCGUAAGCUGCGAGGAAGGCGGGGAUGACGUCAAAUCAGCACGGCCCUUACAUCCGGGGCGACACACGUGUUACAAUGGCGUGGACAAAGGGAGGCCACCUGGCGACAGGGAGCGAAUCCCCAAACCACGUCUCAGUUCGGAUCGGAGUCUGCAACCCGACUCCGUGAAGCUGGAUUCGCUAGUAAUCGCGCAUCAGCCAUGGCGCGGUGAAUACGUUCCCGGGCCUUGUACACACCGCCCGUCAAGCCAUGGGAGCCGGGGGUACCUGAAGUCCGUAACUGCGAGGAUCGGCCUAGGGUAAAACUGGUGACUGGGGCUAAGUCGUAACAAGGUAGCCGUACCGGAAGGUGCGGCUG
rnacentral:rRNA from 1 species